UACAGACGGUCCAAACGUUAUUCGGAAUCACUGGGCUUAAAGAGUUCGUAGGCGGUCAGGAAAGUGGGGUGUGAAAGCCCUCGGCUUAACCGAGGAAUUGCGCUCCAAACUCCCUGACUUGAGGAGGCUAGAGGUAAGCGGAACUGAGUGGUGGAGCGGUGAAAUGCGUUGAUAUCAUCAGGAACACCGGAGGCGAAGGCGGCUUACUGGGGCCUUUCUGACGCUGAGGAACGGAAAGCUAGGGGAGCGAA
rnacentral:rRNA from 1 species